GGUCUCGACUCGAAAUGUCAUCUAUUCCACUCUAUGAUCGUUGCUUUCGUCCGUCUGUCCGCUCGUCCUUCGAUGAAGUAGCGCAGGAUAAAGCUGUGAAUUCACGCCAUUCCCCUCCCAUUCCCAAUCUGACCUUUCUGUCCUGGGCCUCCUCCAUUGUCAGAGUGAGGCCCAGUGCAAAUUGGAGGAACAGCACCUCAUAUUUCGCUUGGGUAGCUUACACCCCAGCAGUAUGAACAUUGACUUCUGUAGCUUCAAAUAGCCCUUGCUUUCCCUCUCUCUCCAUCCCCUCCCCCUUCCCAGUUCUCCCACCAGUCUAACAGUCUCCGACUGCAUUCUAUCCCUGUCCCACUCAUCCCCGACAUCAGUAUGAAAAAGGGUCUCGACCCGAAACGUCACCCAUUCCUUCUCUCCAGAGAUGCUGCCUGUUCCAUUGAGUUAUUCCAGCAUUUUAUAUAGAUACAGAUAAAAUAGUUGCAGGAGUAGGCCAUUCGGCCCUUCGAGCCAUUCAAUGUGAUCAUGGCUGAUCAUCCACAAUCAUCCCAUUCCUGCCUUCUCCCCAUAUUCCCUUGAUUCCACUAGC